UACCAGCACCCCGAGUGGUCGGGACGAUUAUUGGGCCUAAAGCAUCCGUAGCCGGUUUUACAAGUCCUCCGUUAAAUCCAGCUGCUUAACAGAUGGGCUGCGGAGGAUACUAUAAGACUAGGAGGCAGGAGAGGCAAGCGGUACUCAGUGGGUAGGGGUAAAAUCCGUUGAUCCAUUGAAGACCACCAGUGGCGAAGGCGGCUCACUGGUCCAUUACUGACGCUGAGGUGCGAAAGCGUGGGGAGCAAACAGG
rnacentral:rRNA from 1 species